AACAUCUACAUGGAAUGGCUACAACAAACCAUGUACAAACUGUAACCCCUGUAGCACAGGAAAUAAUUGUUGAUGAGGCAUGUGAAGCUGGUGAGAUGUUUUCCUCAAGCACAGAAGAUGAUGAAGAGGAAGAGGAUUGCCUAAGGACACAAUUGGCAGGGUGGGCUAUUGACAACAUGAUCCACCAUGUGGCACUUGGUAAGCUUUUAACCAUUUUGUCCAAGGAUCAUCCAACCCUUCCUAAAGACCCAAGAACCCGUCUUAAAACGGUGACUUGUGUUAAAACAACAGAACUCUCAGGUGGUUUCUCACCAGUGGUCCAGUCUCCACUUCUAAGAGCCAAGAGUUUGAGUAAAAGUAACUUUUUUGGCCAUCAAAUGUGG
ensembl:lncRNA